ACCCCCGGGCAAUGGGCAAGGAGAAACCCUUGAUUGGUGGUGUUGCUCUUAUAUCAAUCAGGGGCAAAGCAGAUGUAUAGUCCUUAGUUCAUCCCAGCUUAAUGCCUGUGUUUGGGGCCAGAGUUGUUUCAUGCCUGAGGCACAUAA
rnacentral:snoRNA from 1 species